rnacentral:pre_miRNA from 11 species
UUUUUCAAAAUUAGCGCCUUGGCGUGGGUUCCGUGCUUCCUUACUUCCCAUAGUCAAAUGACAAAACGUAUGGAAUGUAAAGAAGUAUGGAGCAAAUGCCGGGCCAUCGACUCGACUCCAGC